rnacentral:piRNA from 1 species
UAGAAUAGAAAAAGAAAGGGUGCCAGA